GUGGGUAUAGCUCAGUGGUAGAGUGCAUGCCUAGCAUGCACAAGGUCCUGGGUUCAAUUCCCAGCACCUCUG
rnacentral:tRNA from 1 species